UUAACAGUCCUGGAGACUGAAGUCCUCUAUUUAACCAAACAGGUACGUCUCAUGCAGCAGUAGUGCAAGUUCUCUACACUCCACUAUCAGCAAAUGCCUCCUGGGAAAGGAGAGAGGAUGGGCCUCAGAAUUGUUUGGGUAACAGUGACU
rnacentral:sRNA from 1 species